AUUGAACGCUGGCGGCAGGCCUAACACAUGCAAGUCGAGCGGAUGAAGGGAGCUUGCUCCCUGAUUUAGCGGCGGACGGGUGAGUAAUGCCUAGGAAUCUGCCUGGUAGUGGGGGAUAACGUUCCGAAAGGAACGCUAAUACCGCAUACGUCCUACGGGAGAGAGCAGGGGACCUUCGGGCCUUGCGCUAUCAGAUGAGCCUAGGUCGGAUUAGCUAGUUGGUGAGGUAAUGGCUCACCAAGGCGACGAUCCGUAACUGGUCUGAGAGGAUGAUCAGUCACACUGGAACUGAGACACGGUCCAGACUCCUACGGGAGGCAGCAGUGGGGAAUAUUGGACAAUGGGCGAAAGCCUGAUCCAGCCAUGCCGCGUGUGUGAAGAAGGUCUUCGGAUUGUAAAGCACUUUAAGUUGGGAGGAAGGGCAGUAAGCUAAUACCUUGCUGUUUUGACGUUACCGACAGAAUAAGCACCGGCUAACUUCGUGCCAGCCGCCGCAGUAAAAC
rnacentral:rRNA from 1 species